rnacentral:rRNA from 1 species
GUGCCAGCAGCCGCGGUAAUACGAAGGGUGCAAGCGUUACUCGGAAUUACUGGGCGUAAAGCGUGCGUAGGUGGUGGUUUAAGUCCGUUGUGAAAGCCCUGGGCUCAACCUGGGAACUGCAGUGGAUACUGGAUCACUAGAGUGUGGCAGAGGGUAGUGGAAUUCCCGGUGUUGCAGUGAAAUGCGUAGAGAUCGGGAGGAACAUCAGUGGCGAAGGCGACUGCCUGGGCCAACACUGACACUGAGGCACGAAAGCGUGGGGAGCAAACAGGAUUAGAUACCCUGGUAGUCCACGCCCUAAACGAUGCGAACUGGAUGUUGGGUGCACUUUGGCACGCAGUAUCGAAGCUAACGCGUUAAGUUCGCCGCCUGGGGAGUACGGUCGCAAGACUGAAACUCAAAUGAAUUGACGG